rfam:Triticum urartu cultivar G1812 contig570715, whole genome shotgun sequence.
UAUCGGAUCGGGUGAAUUAGAGAAUAGACAGAGGUCCGUUGGCAUUUCAGCCUUUCUUCUCCUUUCAGGGGUGAGUAGUUCCUCGUGUCAAAAAAAAAGAAAUGGUUAAGGAUACAAUCAAUCAAUAAAUUCUUACUUCUAAGCUUUAUUGGGGAGAAGUAAAGUAACUAAAAAGUACAAAUUGAAAUCAAAUUGAAAUGGUAUUAUGAAAUUCCAUUCCCAUUAGAAUAUUCAUUGACAGAUAAUAAAAAAAAGGAAAACUCUAAUAUAAUAGAAAAUGAAAUGAAACGGUCGACCCUGGGCGACACACGUGCUACAAUGGGCCGGACAAAGGGUCGCGAUCUCCCGAGGGUGAGCUAACUCCAAAACCCGUCCUCAGUUCGGAUUGCAGGCUGCAACUCGCCUGCAUGAAGCAGGAAUCGCUAGUAAUCGCCGGUCAGCCAUACGGCGGUGAAUCCGUUCCCGGGCCGCUGCCCG